rnacentral:rRNA from 1 species
GCUUAACGCGAAGAACCUUACCAGGCCUUGACAUGCAGAGAACUUUCCAGAGAUGGAUUGGUGCCUUCGGGAACGUCUGACACAGGCGCUGCAUGGCUGUCGUCAGCUCGUGUCGUGAGAUGUUGGGUUAAGUCCCGUAACGAGCGCAACCCGUUGUCCUUAGUUACCAGCACGUCAUGGUGGGCACUCUAAGGAGACUGCCGGUGACAAACCGGAGGAAGGUGGGGAUGGACGUCAAGUCAUCAUGGCCCUUACGGCCUGGGCUACACACGUGCUACAAUGGUCGGUACAGAGGGUUGCCAAGCCGCGAGGUGGAGCUAAUCUCACAAAACCGAUCGUAGUCCGGAUCGCAGUCUGCAACUCGACUGCGUGAAGUCGGAAUCGGCUAGUAAUCGCGAAGUCAGAAUGUCGCGGUGAAUACGUUCCCGGGGUCUUGUAC